rnacentral:lncRNA from 10 species
UUUUGUAGUUUUAGUAGAGAUGAGGUUUCGCCACGUUAGCCAGCCUGGUCUCGCUCGAACUCCCAACCUCAGGUAAUCCACCUGCCUCGGCCUCCCAAAGUGCUGGGAUUAGAGGCAUGAGCCACCAUGCCUGGCACCAGGUCUCUUUUCAUUGUAUACUAGAAAAUGUUGUUUGAACAGAACCCUCCGAGAUGAUAGAGUCACCGCCCUUCUGCUCUCGUGUUCUCAGCUGCCCUAUCUACCCUGCAGGUUGCUGCUGCUGCUGGAGCCCACGCAGGUCAUGUGCCACUGUGGCAUUUCCUAAACACUCCUGCCUCUGAAGGUGGCACCCCAUGCCCCAGUCACAAUUCUUUCAGAGUGUCACAGAAGGAAAGAAUCCACAUGUAUUCCUCAGCAGUCUGUCCCUCUGUCCAAUUUGAAGAAAAAAAAAGCCCUUAAUCCCGCUGUACUAAUGCUCCUAAGUGUUGAGGGGUCCUUCAGGAGGGCCUUGUGUCUCCAGGCAAGAGUGACCACAGAGGUGCCCUUUGCCCCUCAGCCCCUCUCCCUGUGGCAGCAGUGACCUGCCUGUCUGGUGAAGCUGGAAAAGGGACUAAACACAUGACACCCAGCCACCUUCUCCCUCUGAACCGACAUCCUUAGGAUGCACCCAAGCUUGUCCACGUGGCAGGUGACUAAAGCAGACUCUUCCUCUGCAAGUAGGUGACCUGCAGCUGUGAUGAAGAAUUGAGUUACCCUAAGACAGGGCAGUUACCCUAAGACAGAGCCUAAGACAGUUACCCUAAGACAGAGCCUAAGAGUUACCCUAAGAGUUUAAGAGCCUAAGACAGAGUUACCCUAAGGUGGAGCCUAAGAGUUAUCCUAAGACAGAGUUACCCUGCAGGGAGCCAAAGGCCCGCGGGACGUGACCAACUCAGCAUUCCGCUGGAGGCUAUAUGAUCAAACAGCGAACUGUUUAUCAUGAAUGCAGGAUGUGGGCAAACUCACACUGCCUUGCCACCAAAAUGUUUGCUGAGGGACAUCAUGCCCUGGCGCCGGGCUCCUGGAAGUUAUCUAUUGAGAAAUCUAGCGCCUAUUGUUCACAAGCCCGCUGUGAACCAAACGGCUGACUGACAAUUACCCGACAACCAUCCUCCCACUUUCUUGCUGUCUCUUUCACCUAAUAAAUACAGAGGGCUGUGUAAAGCUCACGGCCCUUGUCCACUAGAGGCAAGAUGCCCCUUGACCUCUUCUUCCAAAUAUACUCUUUUGUGUCUUGUCUUUUAUUCCCACAUUCGCCCCCCUUUGUUCAGUCCCCCGAGGUCCAUGCAGGUUACAAGUGGCACCCCAAACAGCAACAGGAUCGGGUGCUCUGCAUAGUGGCAUCCGAACACAGGACUUCGAGGACAUGAAUGAAGAAAGUCCGCUGGAGCAGAGGAACUGAAAUUGACAAGGCGAAUGGGGACCCCGAAACGAGUCUGCCAGCAGCAGAGAUAAGGUCAGUGCCCUAAAGAGGUACUGAUCAGUGCCGUAAAGAGGUACUGGGAGCAGUGCUUUAAAGAAGUACUAGGAACAGGAAGUUUUCUGAAUCAGGCUAACAAGGGGAAGAAUUUGUCUAUUGAAG